CUAAGGCAAAGCAUCACGGGAACUAGGUGUGAGCUGGAAGCCUGGCUAAGAAAUGCCAAGUGUGCUGUUCCCAAGACUGCGACCAGAGGCAGCUGGUAGAACCACUUUAUCUUAGGAGGACUGUUAUGAAGGAGGCCAGUUGUUUUCUUAUCUUCAGCAGAAGGGUGGACCUGGAACCAGCCCUCAGAGCCUCCUGUUGGCUCAGAUAAAGAAUCAUGUGCUAACAGGGGUGGAAUUCAUCCAAGGCGAAUAUGGCGAGCAGAGAUCUUAGCAGCUGAGUAAGGAAGUGGGUACUUUUGGAUGAGAAAUACUGGCAGGACACUGAAAGAACUUCAUGGGAGACUAGAGCUAGUACACUUGUCUUUGCUUUUCCAGGACACGAAACCUUUAGCGCAGCAGCGGUUGCUUUCUGCUGUGAUGGCUCAUUGGUUCAACAGAUGUGAGCAAACGUAUAGAUGGGCUGCAUCUCACAGUCUUAAAAGGCAUGAUCAGCAUGUGAUCCUCUUGAAAGCAUAAGGACCAUGGUUCCAUUCAGUCAUCUGAUAAUGAUGUCAAACAGCUAUGCUAGAUUUAGAUGGCUAUAGAUACAGUAUCUAGCUGUGCCGCUAUAACUAACAUAAACCGUAUUUCCUCUCCUACAAUAUUGCACUUACUUGUGUCCGUACAGGAAUUUUAGCCACUAGUGUAGCUGCAUUAGUUUGUAUCACUGCAGUGUGAUGUGAACCUUGUUGCAAGUACUGCUGCACUGGUGGAAACCAUUACAAAAAGUGUUUUUUUUCUCCUGCUGGUAAUAGCUCACCUUAAUUGAUCACUCUCGUUAUAGUGUAUGGUAACA